rnacentral:misc_RNA from 1 species
UACAUGGCUUUCGGUUGUUCGCUUGGCUUUUUAGCCUUGCUGGCGGCCGUUUGGCAUUUCGGCUUCGGGGAUGUAUUCCGUAAAAGGUGCAUGAGUGGUGUUUGGAUUGAUACGGGUGGUCGGCUCCCUGCUUGAGCAGGCACGACCAYGCGUGCUUUCCUUUUCAGAUGUUCGGCAAGGCUUGUAUCGUCUUGACCGUACCAGUGGGUUUCUUGUGCUGCAUACCUAAAAGAUGGCAUCGAUCUGAUCAAAUCAGUAUCGUUUUCGUCUGGCAUUGCGMUAGCAUUGUCGGAUGAACCAUGCAACACACUCCUCGAUCCAUACAGUUGACGUUUACUCGUUCAUUGGCUGGGUCGUUGAGGGUGCUUGGUGUCCCGGAUAUGGAAGCCAAAGAAGGCAUAUGGGAUCGAAAGAUCCUUUUAUUGCCCUCAUUUGAGCGUUCUUGCUUCUCUCACACGACCGCCUUUGCACGUAUGGCACGUCCCAGCGUGAUUGGCCACGUCGGAGAGGGAUGCAUCGAGCGUUCUUGCUUUUCUCACACGACCGCCUUUGCACGUAUGGCACGUCCCAGCGUGAUUGGCUACGUCGAAGAGGAAUGC